AUUGAACGCUGGCGGAAGGCCUAACACAUGCAAGUCGAACGAGUAGCGGACGGGUGAGUAAUGUCUUGGAAACUGCCCGAUGGAGGGGGCUAACUACUGGAAACGGUAGCACAUACCGCAUACCAUCGGAUGUGCCACGAGUGGAUUAGCUAGUAGGUGGGGUAACGGCUCACCUAGGAGACGAUCCCUAGCUGGUCUGAGAGGAUGACCAGCCACACUGGAACUUAGACACGGUCCAGACUCCUACGGGAGGCAGCAGUGGGGAAUAUUGCACAAUGGGCGCAAGCCUGAUGCAGCCACGCCGCGUGUAUGAAGAAGGUUUUCGGGUCGUAAAGUACUUUCAGCGAGGAGGCGUUACUCGCAGAAGAAGCAACGGCUAACUCCGUGCCAGCAGCCGCGGUAAUUC
rnacentral:rRNA from 1 species